AUAGCGGCCAGAGGGGGGGAGACUGGCCCUUUCCAGUUGAGUACCUCCCGGAGAAACAAAACCUAGGGGGCCCGGGCCUCAGCAUUGCCAAAGUCAACGGCGUGCGUAGCAUUUACGCACGUGACGCAAGCCUAGCCGAGAAGGCGCGUGCGCAACGUGACUGUCAGGGCCCUCUAGCCGGCCCCCGCCCGUGUUUGCCGGGGGCGCGGCCUGGAGGAGAGUUCUGGCCCCCGGUGCCGCGAGGGCCGGUCCAGGCCGCCUUCUUGGCCUCAGGGCGCGCUGCCUUGCUGCCCUGCGGCUGAAGGUGUGGCGGAUCCAAAGAGUGACCACCCCAGGAAGCAGUCCCUGGAGCGGAAGUGAGAAUGGCUCCCACGAGUGAGGAGUGGGAGUGAAGAAGAGCAGCUUCUCCAGACCCUGGGGGCCCAGGUGGGCGUGAGCGAAGAUUUGACUUGAAAAUGAGUAAGUGCAGAAAGCCACCAGUUCAGCAGUUAGCAAGUCCUGAGACAUUCAGCCCAGAUGUUCUUGCUGACAUUUUUGAACUCUUUGCCAAGAACUUUUCUUAUUGUAAGCCAGUUAAUAAUGAAUGGCAAUUACCAGAUCCCAGUGAGAUUUUCACCUGUGACCAUGCAGAAUUAAAUGCAUUUCUUGAUUUGAAGAACUCCCUAAAUGAAGUAAAAAACCUCCUAAGUGAUAAGAAACUGGAUGAGUGGCAUGAGCACACUGCUUUCACUAAUAAAGCAGGAAAAAUCAUUUCUCAUGUAAAAAAAUCUGUGAAUGCUGAACUUUGCACUCAAGCAUGGUGUAAAUUUCAUGAGAUUUUGUGCAGCUUUCCACUUAUUCCACAGGAAGCUUUUCAGAAUGGAAAACUGAAUUCUCUACACCUUUGUGAAGCCCCCGGAGCUUUUAUAGCUAGUCUUAACCACUACUUAAAAUCCCAUCGGUUCCCUUGUGAAUGGAGUUGGGUGGCUAAUACCCUGAAUCCAUACCAUGAAGCAAAUGACAAUCUUAUGAUGAUUAUGGAUGACCGGCUCAUUGCAAAUACCUUGAAUUGGUGGUACUUUGGUCCAGAUAACACUGGUGAUAUCAUGACCAUGAAAUAUCUGACUGGACUUCAGAAUUUCGUAAGCAGCAUGGCAACCAUUCACUUGAUCACUGCCGAUGGGAGUUUUGAUUGCCAAGGAAACCCAGGUGAACAAGAAGCUUUAGUCUCUUCUUUACAUUACUGUGAAGUUGUCACUGCUCUGACCACUCUUGGAAAUGGUGGCUCUUUUGUUCUGAAGAUGUUUACUUUGUUUGAACAUUGUUCAAUAAACCUGAUGUACCUGCUAAACUGUUCCUUUGACCAAGUCCAUGUUUUCAAACCUGCUACUAGCAAGGCAGGCAACUCAGAAGUCUAUGUGGUGUGUCUCCGCUAUAAAGGAAGAGAGGCUAUCAAUCCUCUGUUAUCUAAGAUGGUGCUGAAUUUUGGGACUGAAAUGACCAGAAAAGCACUCUUUCCCCAUAAUUUGAUUCCAGAAUCAUUUCUUAAAAGACAUGAAGAAUGUUGUGCAUUUUUUCAUAAAUAUCAGCUAGAGACAAUUUCUGAGAACAUUCGUCUGUUUGAGUGCAUGGGAGAAGAGGAACAGGCAAAGCUGACUAAUUUAAGGGAUUGUGCUGUACAAUAUUUUAUGCAAAAAUUUCAACUGAAGCCUCUUUCCAGAAAUAACUGGCUAGUAAAAAAAUCUAAUAUUGGUUGUAGUACAAAUACAAAAUGGUUUGGACAGAGGAACAGAUAUUUUAAAACCUAUAAUGAAAGGAAGAUGUUGGAAACCCUUUCAUGGAAAGAUAAAAUAGCCAAAGGAUACUUUAAUAGUUGGGCUGAAGAACAUGCUGUAUAUCAUCCUGGGCAAAAUUCUCUUUUAGAAGGAACAGUUUCCAAUCUUGAGUGUCACUUAUGGCAAAUUUUAGAAGGAAAGAAAUUGCCAAAAGUAAAGUGUUCUCCAUUUUGUGAUGGUGAAAUAUUAAAGACUCUGAACGAAGCAAUUGAAAAGUCCUUAGGAGAAGCUUUAAAUUUGGAUUCCAGGCCAACACAGCAAUAUUAUUGUUCUUGUCACAUUUUUUCAGAAGAACUAAUAUUUUCUGAGUUGUUUAGCCUUACCAAGUGCCUUCAGGAAGAACAGGUUUUAGAACCCAGCAACCAGAUAAAGUGCCUGCUUGUGGGUUUACCAACACUCCAUGAUGUAAAAAUGAACAUACCAGUGGAAGUUCAACUCCUGGAAUCAGCUGAACUCAUGACUUUUAGCUGUUCCUUGCUUCAUGAUGGAGACCCAACUUACCAGCAUUUGUUUUUGAACUGCCUUCUACAUUCAUUACAGCAGCUUCAUGCAGGAGAUAUGAUGAUUUUGCCUGUACUUUCUUGCUUAACAAGAUUUAUGGCUGGCUUGAUCUUUGUACUCCAGAGUUGUUUUAGAUUCAUCACGUUUUCUUGUCCCACAUCCUCUGAGCCCCUGAGAACUUGUGCAGUCUUGCUAUGUGUUGGUUAUCAGAAUCUUCCAAAUUCAGUUUUCCAGUAUCUGCAGAAUAUGAAUGAAUUGUUGAGUACUUUGCUUAACUCUGAUGCACCCCAGCAGGUUUUACAGUUUGUGCCAAUGGAGCUGCUCCUUAAUGGGUCACUACUUGAUUUUUUGUGGGAUUUAAAUGCUGCUAUUGCCAAAAGCCAUUUACAUUUGAUUAUUCAAGGAGAGAGAGAAGAAAUCAGCAGCAGCCUUCAUUUAUGAAAUUGAAUUUGUUCUUUCUGAGAUUCAAUUUUGUGACAUUUUCCAAUGUUAUUGCAUCUGUUUGCUCUAUCAAUUUAAUAUUUUUCAUUUUGGGGAAAGACCAACUUUUACAUCAUCCAAGAUUUUAAUUCUAGAAAACCAUCAGCUAGUUCUGAUUUCUAGGAUACAUGCAUCCAUAUAGAGUUGUCCAUGGCAAAAAUCUAUUCAGUGAUGGUAUUCACCUCUAAACAUGAGGAUGUGUGCAUUUGGAGAGGAUAUGCCCAUGUGUACACAAUGCAAUUGAUUUGAUCUUAUCUGCUUAAGAUCUGCACCUGUGUGCCUUCAUUCAGGGUUUUUUCCAACUAACUUCUCAUUGGCUAAUGAUAUUAAUAAGUUGAUAGCAGUCAAAGGAGGAGGCACUCCUCAGCAACAGGACUUCAUUUAGCUCUUGACAGUUUUGGAUAUCAGGGAACUCACUGUGCCAGAUUUCUUGGUAUAUGCCAUUCAUUGCUUUUAGACGAUGGACUGGAUUUUCUUUUAUGUUUCAAAUGAAACUAGUGUGCUAUUUUACAAAUAUUUUACUAAGUACAACCAUGCAACUAAUAAUAAGACAGCUUCAAACCAAAGAUCAUGUUUAAAACAAUGAAUAAUUGUGUCUAGUACACUCCUGUAUCAUGAAAACUUCAUUUAACAAUGUAGUAGUAAUUUUUAACUUCCAGGAAAUUAUCAGUGAAUGAAAAGAUUUUUAUUUAAUUUUAAGGUGGCCUUUUGCAAGCAGUUCAAGUUAUAUGAUGCUGGAAGUCGAAUGGAAAAUUGGUUACCAAGGGAAAACCCUCUUGGAAAAUCAUUUUGCACUUAAUAGUCUUGAUGCCCUGCUUAUAAUCAAUUUAUUUUGCUUAUUUUAACCAUUUGUUAGAAUAAGUUGAAAGCCUUGGUCCAGAUGUUGAUAAUAGAACUUCUAAGCCCUUCAGAUAAGUAUUGAAUGUUUAGUUGUUUUUUUUUUUUAAACACAUUUAUCUGUAUUGGAAUCUAACAUUGGAAUAUAUUAGAAUAUAUUUUGUUUCUUAGGGCUUUUGGAUCAGUUGUUCAUCUGAUUUAUUGGAUUGAAAUUCCUUUAGAGAGGCAGAGCAUUCUUUCCAGCUCUUCAGCUCCUGAGUGGAAUACAGAAGGCUGAUCCUUCUUUUUACCCCUAUAAUAUUGUAAUAUAGGAUCAGAAGACAGGCAGCCAUGCCUACAAAAUUCACUUGAAAACUUCCUGUUUCAGUGAUUGUUGGGUAACCCAGAUGAUCUUUGAUAUGACAGGACAUAUCAGGAAGGAAACAAAGAGAUUUAACCUGGCUGCUUCUGCCUGCCUGCCUUCGUCUGAGGUAGGCUAAAUUCUCUUGGUCAAAGGAAUUCAAGUGGAGCCAAGUGACAGAAGCUCAGAGGAAAAUCUCCUCCUUCAGUAAUUCAUCUAGCAAACAUCGCCUGAGUGCUCUGUGUGUCAGGCACUGCCUUAGGUUCCAGGAUGUAAAGACUCAGUGUAAACACCAUGAAGGAUGGAGGCAGCACUGCACAGUUUUCCAUUGCUACUGCAAUAAAUUCCCACUGACUCAAUAGCUGAAAAAAAUACAAAUUGAGUAUCUUACUGUUCUGAAGACCAGAAAUCUGAGGUCAAGGGUUGCCAGGGCUGUCUGUGUUCCCUUCUGGAGGCCUAAGGAGAAUCUGCUUCCUUAUCCUUUCCACACUUUAGAAACCAUCUGCCUGUCUUGGCUCUGGGCCCUGUUACCAUCACUUCAACUCUUGUGUCUUUUGUCACAUAACCUCCUACUCAAUCUGAUCUGCCUCCCUCUUGUACAGAUCCACGUGAUGAUAUUGAGCCCACUUGGAUAAUCCAGGAUAAUCUUCCCACCUCAAAACCAUUAAUCUAAUUGCAUUUUCAAAGAUCCAUUUUCAUAUAAGGUAACAUUCAGAGGUUCCAGGAAUGAGGAUGUGGACAUUUUUUGGAGGUGAGGGGGGUGGAUUUUUAUUCACA